rnacentral:rRNA from 1 species
GACGAACGCUGGCGGCGUGCUUAACACAUGCAAGUCGAACGGAAAGGCCCUGCUUGCAGGGUGCUCGAGUGGCGAACGGGUGAGUAACACGUGGGUGAUCUGCCCCCUACUUUGGGAUAAGCCUGGGAAACUGGGUCUAAUACUGGAUAGGACCAUGCUGUCGGUGGUGUGGUGGAAAGAUUAGUUUCGGUAAGGGAUGAGCUCGCGGCCUAUCAGCUUGUUGGUGGGGUAAUGGCCUACCAAGGCGUCGACGGGUAGCCGGCCUGAGAGGGUGGACGGCCACAUUGGGACUGCGGUACGGCCCAGACUCCUACGGGGGGCAGCAGUGGGGAAGAUUGCAGAAUGGGCGCAAGCCUGAUGCAGCGACGCCGCGGGGGGGAUGACGGCCUUCGGGUUGUAAACUCCUUUCUGCCAUGACGAAGCCCUUGUGGUGACGGUAGUGGUAGAAGAAGCACCGGCUAACUACGUG